GAUGGUUUAGUGAGGUCCUCGGAUCGGCCCCGCCGGGGUCGGUCACGGCCCUGGCGGAGCGCCGAGAAGACGAUCAAACUUGACUAUCUAGAGGAAGUAAAAGUCGUAACAAGGUGUCCGUAGGUGAACCUGCGGAAGGAUCAUUR
rnacentral:rRNA from 1 species